CCUACGGGAGGCAGCAGUGGGGAAUAUUGCACAAUGGGGGAAACCCUGAUGCAGCGACGCCGCGUGAGUGAAGAAGUAUCUCGGUACGUAAAGCUCUAUCAGCAGGGAAGAAAAUGACGGUACCUGCCUAAGAAGCCCCGGCUAACUACGUGCCAGCAGCCGCGGUUAUACGUAGGGGGCAAGCGUUAUCCGGAUUUACUGGGUGUAAAGGGAGCGUAGACGGCAGCACAAGUCUGGAGUGAAAUCCCGGGGCUGAACCCCGGAACUGCUUUGGAAACUGUGCGGCUGGAGUGCAGGAGGGGUAAGCGGAAUUCCUAGUGUAGCGGUGAAAUGCGUAGAUAUUAGGAGGAACACCGGUGGCGAAGGCGGCUUACUGGACUGUAACUGACGUUGAGGCUCGAAAGCGUGGGGAGCAAACAGGAUUAGAUACCCGAGUAGUC
rnacentral:rRNA from 1 species